rnacentral:rRNA from 1 species
AUUGAACGCUGGCGGCAUGCUUUACACAUGCAAGUCGAACGGUAACAGGCCGCAAGGUGCUGACGAGUGGCGAACGGGUGAGUAAUGCAUCGGAACGUGCCCAGUCGUGGGGGAUAACGCAGCGAAAGCUGCGCUAAUACCGCAUACGACCUCUGGAUGAAAGCGGGGGACCGAAAGGCCUCGCGCGAUUGGAGCGGCCGAUGUCAGAUUAGGUAGUUGGUGGGGUAAAGGCCCACCAAGCCAACGAUCUGUAGCGGGUCUGAGAGGACGACCAGCCACACUGGGACUGAGCCACGGCCCAGACUCCUACGGGAGGCAGCAGUGGGGAAUUUUGGACAAUGGGCGCAAGCCUGAUCCAGCAAUGCCGCGUGCAGGAAGAAGGCCUUCGGGUUGUAAACUGCUUUUGUACGGAACGAAACGGUCCGGGUUAAUACCCUGGGCUAAUGACGGUACCGUAAGAAUAAGCACCGGCUAACUACGUGCCAGCCGCCGCCGUAACAC